GACUGCUUGGCGCAAUGGUAGCGCGCGGUCCUCCUAUUAUCAUCCAUGAUUAUGGGAGUGAAAGACUGAGGUUGCGGGUUCGAGUCCCGUGGUGGUCG
rnacentral:tRNA from 1 species